rnacentral:rRNA from 1 species
GAUGAACGCUGGCGGCGUGCCUAAUACAUGCAAGUCGAGCGAACAGAUGAGGAGCUUGCUCCUCUGACGUUAGCGGCGGACGGGUGAGUAACACGUGGAUAACCUACCUAUAAGACUGGGAUAACUUCGGGAAACCGGAGCUAAUACCGGAUAAUAUAUUGAACCGCAUGGUUCAAUAGUUAAAGACGGUUUUGCUGUCACUUAUAGAUGGAUCCGCGCCGCAUUAGCUAGUUGGUAAGGUAACGGCUUACCAAGGCAACGAUGCGUAGCCGACCUGAGAGGGUGAUCGGCCACACUGGAACUGAGACACGGUCCAGACUCCUACGGGAGGCAGCAGUAGGGAAUCUUCCGCAAAGGGCGAAAGCCUGACGGAGCAACGCCGCGUGAGUGAUGAAGGUCUUCGGAUCGUAAAACUCUGUUAUUAGGGAAGAACAAAUGUGUAAGUAACUAUGCACGUCUUGACGGUACCUAAUCAGAAAGCCACGGCUAACUACGUG